GGGGGUAUAGCUCAGUUGGUAGAGCGCUUGAAUGGCAUUCAAGAGGGCAGCGGUUCGACCCCGCUUAUCUCCACCA
rnacentral:tRNA from 1 species